UGAGGAAUAUUGCACAAUGGGGGCAACCCUGAUGCAGCAACGCCGCGUGGAGGAUGAAGGCUUUUGAGUUGUAAACUCCUUUUCUGAGGGAAGAGUAAGGACGGUACCUCAGGAAUAAGGCCCGGCUAACUACGUGCCAGCAGCCGCGGUAAUACGUAGGGGUCAAGCGUUAUCCGGAAUUACUGGGCGUAAAGCGCGCGUAGGCGGGUCAUUAAGUCAGGGGUGAAAUCCCGGGGCUCAACCUCGGAAUUGCCUUUGAUACUGGUGACCUUGAGUCCGUGAGAGGUGAGUGGAACUCCGAGUGUAGAGGUGAAAUUCGUAGAUAUUCGGAAGAACACCAGUGGCGAAGGCGGCUCACUGGCACGGUACUGACGCUGAGGUGCGAAAGCGUGGGGAGCAAACAGGAUUAGAUACCCCGGUAGUCC
rnacentral:rRNA from 1 species